rnacentral:misc_RNA from 1 species
GAUGAAGAACGCAGCGAAAUGCGAUAAGUAAUGUGAAUUGCAGAAUUCAGUGAAUCAUCGAAUCUUUGAACGCACAUUGCGCCCGCCAGUAUUCUGGCGGGCAUGCCUGUUCGAGCGUCAUUUCAACCAUCAAGCCCCACGGCUUGUGUUGGGGACCUGCGGCUGCCCGCAGGCCCUGAAAACCAGUGGCGGGCUCGCUGUCACCCCGAGCGUAGUAGCAUACAUCUCGCUCCGGGCGUGCUGCGGGCACCUGCCGUAAAACCCCCCACAUACCAAAGGUUGACCUCGGAUCAGGUAGGAAGACCCGCUGAACUUAAGCAUAUCAAUAAGCGGAGGA